AAAGUCUAUGAAGAUUUCUAGUAGGUCUCUAGCCCAACAUCUUCAAAUUAUUGUAAUAUAUUUUAAGUAGAUUUUUAUACAUGGGAAAAUAAAAUUUAAAAAAAAAAAAAAUGUGCUCCAUCGAAGUCCCAGAGCAUGCCCGUUCGCAGGUUAGGAUUGUCCCACACUUCAAUCAUCGAGAAUUUGCUUUUGCAUAGUGGAAGCAAGACUUCGAUAGCUUCCGCCGUUUCGCGCCAUAUUUUCAUACUGAUGUGGUAGUUCUGAAUUGUGACUUUAUUUAGUUCGUUUUUAUGUCAACAUAACUCGGAUAUAAGAAAAGUAUUAUAAAGAUUUGGAAAGCAAAGAUUCAAGGGUUCAAUUGUGUGACAUUUUUCAUCGACGUUUCGCCGCCCGAGCGACGGUGUCAGAGAAAAGCCAUGCCUGUGAAAUGUGAGUUCUGUGACAAGAUAUUUUCAUGCAGAAGCGCUUUGGCAAUGCAUGAAAGAACACACACUGGAGACAAACCUUAUGAAUGUGAUGUUUGCAACAAGAGAUUUUCUCAAAUGGGCCAUUUAAGGACACAUAAAAGGACACAUACUGGAGACAAACCUUAUGGAUGUGAUGUUUGCAACAAGAGAUUUUCUCAAAUGGGCAGUUUAAGGACACAUAAAAUAACACAUACUGGAGACAAACCUUAUGAAUGUGAUGUUUGCAACAAGAGAUUUUCUCAAAUGGACUAUUUAAGGACACAUAAAAGGACACAUACUGGAGACAAGCCUUAUGAAUGUGAUGUUUGCAACAAGAGAUUUCUUCAUAUGUGCAUUUUAAGGACUCAUGAAAGAACACACACUGGAGACAAGCCUUAUGAAUGUGAUGUUUGCAACAAGAGAUUUUCUCAAAUGAGCAAUUUAAGGAAACAUAAACGAACACAUACUGGAGAGAAACCUUAUGAAUGUGAUGUUUGCAACAAGAGAUUUUCUCAAAUGGGUAAUUUAGGGAAACAUAAAAGAUUACAUACUGGAGACACAGGGCCGCACAGAGAAAUUCGGGGACCCAGGGCAAAAAUGUUGAUGAGCGGGAAAACAAUUUUCCGGGACGUAUCCAAAAAAAGGUUUCCGUACAAACACCAUUAAAAUUUUGAAAUUUGAGGCCAAUAUGACAGGGGUGACACCAGAGGGGGUGAAACACCCCUUCCCCAUGAAUGAAUCUUCAAAUUGUUUGCUUUGUUGCAUUCGGUGGGCAAAAAAGCCAAAAAUUGAGCUGUUUGGAUAUGGAAUUAUCGAACAUGUGAAUUUAAAUAGAAAACUUAAUACUUCAAAAAGUGAGGUGAAUAUGUUGAAAAUGUGCUCUAUCGAGUCGUAGCCAAUUAAUAGCCUCGUUCCCAGAGCGUGCCCGUUCGCAGGUUAGUAUUGUCCUCAGUGGGAUUGUCCCACACUUCAAUAAACGCGAAUUUGCUUUUGCAUAGUGGAAGCACGACUUCAAGAGCUUCCGCCAGUGCUUCCAUUUUCAAGGAAAUUUCCUUUUCUAAGGAAAUUCUACUGUCGAAAAGGAAAAUCUAAGGAAGAGAAAAAAUCUAAGGAAAUCUAAGGAUUUUUUCCGAAAAACUUAACUGUUCGCCCAAGCGCAUUUGUGCUGAAGGUUUCCAUUUUUUUAAAUUUUUGAGUGAAUUAUCAAUUAUCUUUAAUUAAAAAUCUGUUUUUAACUUUUUCCUCGUAUUUCCGAAAGUUUUUAAGCGAUGGGAUUUAGUAACUUUUGGCGCCAAACGUUGUGAAUAGUUAAUUAAUCAUAUCAAUGUAAAGGUAUCUCUUGUAAAUUCAUAACAAAUAUUUAAUUUUAAACAGUAUAAUAGCCUGUGGUUUUUAGCUAGCCCAUAUCUUUGUUAAUUGUGCUAUUUUGUGACUUGAAAAUUAAUUAAAUCCUUUAUUGCUGCAAAAUCACUGCAAACUGCUUCAUGAAAUUUCAAGGAAUUUUCAAGGAAAUAACAUAUACAAUCUAAGGAAUUUAGAGAAAUUUUGAUGACAAAAAUGAGAAAUUUUGAUUUUAAAAAUGGAAGCACUGGCUUCCGCCGUUUCGCGCCAUAUUUUCAUACAUGUGGUGUUCUGAACUGUGACUUUAUUUAGCUCGUUUUUAUGCCAAAAUAACUCGGAUAUAAGAAAAAUUUUAUAAAGAUUUAGAAAGCAAAGAUUCAAGGCUUCAAGUGGGUGACAUUUUUCAUCGAAGUUUGGCCGCACGGGCGACGGUGUCAGAGAAAAGUCAUGCCUGUGAAAUGUGAGUUCUGUGACAAGAUAUUGCCAUCCAGAAGCACUUUGACAUUGCAUCAAAGAAAGCACACUGGAGAGAAACCUUAUGAAUGUGAUAUUUGCAACAAGAGAUUUUCUCAAAUGGGCAAUUUAAGGACACAUAAAAUAUUACAUACUGGAGACAAGCCUUAUGAAUGUCAUCUUUGCGAAAGAAAAUUUUCCAAUUCAGGUUCUUUGGCUGUACAUAGAAGAACACACACUGGCCGUAAGCCUUAUGAAUGCGAUGUCUGCGACAAGAAAUUUUCUCAUAUGAGCAACCUAAGGGUACAUAAAACAGUACAUACUGGAAACAAGCCUUAUGAAUGUGAUCUCUGCGAGAAGAGAUUUUCAAAUUUAGGUAAUUUUGCUAAACACAAAAGGACACAUAGUGGCGACAAACCUUAUGAAUGUGACAUCUGCAAAAGAACGUUUUCGCAAUCCAGCAAUUUAGCAACACAUACAAUAGAGGUGCACAAGAAGGACAGAGCUUAUGAGUGCGACGUUUGCAAGAAGAGAUUUGCGCGGCUGGAUCAUUUAAAGACACAUAAAAGGACGCACACUGGAGACAAGCCUUAUGAAUGUCAAGUCUGCAACAAACGUUUUUCAGAUCAAAGUAAUUUUGCUAAGCAUAAAAAAAAGCACAUCGUGUAGAUGUGUAUGUACUGGUAAUAUUCAUAAAUUAAAUGGACUUCCUUUUGUAACAUCAGGCCCGUAGCUGAGGGGGGGGGGGGGCACUGGGGUGCCCCCCCCCCCACUCCGAAAUUUGGUAUGAAAAAUUGAGAUAAAGGACCUGGAAACCAAUUGUAAUCAUGGGACAAAUUCUGUAAAUUUUGUGGUUAAUUUUGUGCUGUUUUCGAAAAAUUUUGUUAGGUUUCGGAAAAAUUUGGUCUGUCCGCAAAAAUUUUUGACCCCUAAAAUGGUACACUGACCGUUUUUGAAAGCAGUCAAAAUUUUUCUCAUCUCAAACCCUCUGUUACAUUCUUUCUGCAGUGCCCCCCCCCCCCAGAAAUUGAGAGCCAGCUACGGGCUUGUGUAACAUAUGUAACAUUUUGAACAUAACAUUACAUAAUAAACACAAACCAUUGACAGGC
rnacentral:lncRNA from 1 species